AUCUCCUCGGAGGUCCCGUCAAGCUCUUCACCACCAGAUGUGUGGUUGCCGAGUUGGAGAAACUGGGUAAAGAUUUUUCAGAAUCCC